rnacentral:rRNA from 1 species
CCCUUAGAUGUUCUGGGCUGCACGCGUGCUACACUGAUAUUGCCAAUAUGUCAUUCUUAUCCGAAAUGGAUUGGGUAAUCAAGUAAUGAAAUUUCAUGCUUGGAAUCGGUAAUUGCAAUUUUUUCGUGAACGAGGAAUUCCUAGUAAGCACUAGUCAUCAGCUAAUGUUGAUUAUGUCCCUGCCCUUUGUACACACCGCCCGUCGCUACUACUGAUUGGGUGUUCAAGUGAGAUGCUUAGACCCUUGUUGCAUGGUUCAUUAUUGUGCUCCGAAAGGAAAAAGUUUCAAGCUUGAGUGUCUAGAGGAAGUAAAAGUCGUAACA